rnacentral:tRNA from 1 species
GGGAGCUUAGCUCAGCUGGUUCAGAGCAUCUGCCUUACAAGCAGAGGGCCACUGGUUCGAAUCCAGUAGUUCCCACCA